GAAGACUAAAACUCAGGAAGCCAGUUGAAGUCACCUGUUGCAAGCGAUAAUCAAAGAGGUUAAAUAAAAGCGUGUGCAGGAGAGUUGGCAGCAACCAGAGAGGAAACCACUGAACAGACCAGCGACUGGAGGCAGCUCCCCCAGGACCUGCACCCCAUACACAGAAGGAGCAAGUGCGGGAGAGCUCAAGCAACAGACAGAGCCUUUGGGAGCCGGGUACUUGGAGCAAAUCUAAGGAAGCCAUGUCUCCAAGAGAUGCCUGCCCUGCUCUGCUGCUCCUCCUGCUGACCCUGCUGUCAGCCUGGCCAGCCGUGGACAGCAGGGAAACACCAAACCAGAAGUUUGAGGCAGCAUGUCGACCUGUUGACUAGCCCGCCGUAUAAUGACGCCUACUGCAAUCGGAGGAUGAUAGCUCAGAGAAUGACCUUGGGCACCUGCAAGGGUAACAACACCUUCAUCCAUGCAUACUCACUAUCAAUAAAUAGGGUCUGCACUGAGGCUGGGACAUACAUAACAAAAACCAAGUAUUACUAUAGUAAGAACGACUUCUUUGUCACUCUCUGCAAGUUUGUAAGCGGCUCCCCACCGAAUGGCUGUAUGUACCAGGCUAGCUCCUCUAACCAGAGGAUUUGCAUUGACUGCUAUGGAAAACUGCCUGUGCACUACAACCAAGUGAGCAGCUGCUUGUCAUGAGUCUUGCACUGCUCCGCAGCUUUUGCUCGCAGCGGGUCCCCAGGGCCAAAGUCUCUCAGCCUGGCCCUCUCCCUGCUCCCUCCUGGACCAUGAAGCCAGAUCAUUUGGCUCCAAAUCUUAGUGUCCCCAUUCCAGCUCUUCUGCUGCCAUCAGGGUCCAUUGUGCGCUACACCCACCCCUUCCACCUCCUGCAUCCACAGGAGGGGCCGGAUCCUGGUGCAGAGCAAGUGCCCUCCUGCUGCCGAGUCCUCAGUGCUGUUACUGAGCCGAAUUUCUUGCUGCUUUCUGCAAUAAACUUUGGCAACUGCAAA